rnacentral:rRNA from 1 species
UGCCAGCCGCCGCGGUAAUACGUAGGGUGCGAGCGUUGUCCGGAAUUAUUGGGCGUAAAGCGCGUGUAGGCGGUUCGUUAAGUCUGAUGUGAAAGCCCGGGGCUCAACCCCGGAAGUGCAUUGGAAACUGGCGAACUUGAGUACGGGAGAGGAAAGUGGAAUUCCGAGUGUAGGAGUGAAAUCCGUAGAUAUUCGGAGGAACACCAGUGGCGAAGGCGGCUUUCUGGACCAAUAUUGACGCUCAGGCACGAAAGCGUGAGGAGCGAACAGGAUUAGAUA